UCUAGCUAUUUUUAUAUACGAUCACCAACCCUUGAUAACUACUAGUAUAAUGAUUUAGUUUCUUAUAAGACUUCAUAAUAUUCGUCUACUUUAAAUUAAGACCACAACACUCGAUCUCCUCUUCAUAAUCUUCAGCUCCCGUCAGCUUAUCAUUAAGUUAGAAUGCUCCAAACCGAUCACAGCCAAUCUUCUGCUGCUGUAGUGGAAAAACCUCCACAGGGGCAGUACACAGGCCCCCCGCCGAUAGGCUAUCCAACAAGAGAUGUGAUGUUGGGUGAUCCUCCUGCGGCCGCAGUGGAGACGAAGUCUAAGGGCGAUGGGUUUUGGAAAGGAUGUUGUGCUGCCAUAUGCUGCUGUUGUGUUCUGGACGCAUGCUUCUGAGACUCCGGAGUUUACAAUUUUUAUGUAAAUUAUUGCUGUAAUAAAAAGAAGCUUAUAUUUGAUGAUAGUUGUUUUACAUAAUUACUCUCUAUGUGGAAUAUACUCUGUGGAUGAUUGUCGUUGUUAUGUUUCGGGUAUAUUAAGUGAACGUAUUAUACACUAAAGUGAA